rnacentral:rRNA from 1 species
CGGCGGACGGGUGAGUAACGCGUGGGAACGUGCCCUUCUCUACGGAAUAGUCCCGGGAAACUGGGUUUAAUACCGUAUACGCCCUUCGGGGGAAAGAUUUAUCGGAGAAGGAUCGGCCCGCGUUAGAUUAGGUAGUUGGUGGGGUAAUGGCCUACCAAGCCUACGAUCUAUAGCUGGUUUGAGAGGAUGAUCAGCCACACUGGGACUGAGACACGGCCCAGACUCCUACGGGAGGCAGCAGUGGGGAAUCUUAGACAAUGGGGGCAACCCUGAUCUAGCCAUGCCGCGUGAGUGAUGAAGGCCUUAGGGUCGUAAAGCUCUUUCGCUGGGGAAGAUAAUGACUGUACCCAGUAAAGAAACCCCGGCUAACUCCGUGCCAGCAGCCGCGGUAAUACGGAGGGGGUUAGCGUUGUUCGGAAUUACUGGGCGUAAAGCGCGCGUAGGCGGAUUGGAAAGUUGGGGGUGAAAUCCCGGGGCUCAACCUCGGAACUGCCUCCAAAACUCCCAGUCUUGAGUUCGAGAGAGGUGAGUGGAACUCCGAGUGUAGAGGUGAAAUUCGUAGAUAUUCGGAAGAACACCAGUGGCGAAGGCGGCUCACUG